rnacentral:rRNA from 1 species
CGGAGGCGCCCAAAGGUUCCCUCAGAAUGGAUGGAAAUCAUUCGCAGAGUGUAAAGGCACAAGGGAGCUUGACUGCGAGACUGACAAGUCGAGCAGGGACGAAAGUCGGGCUUAGUGAUCCGGUGGUGCCGCAUGGAAGGGCCAUCGCUCAACGGAUAAAAGCUACCCCGGGGAUAACAGGCUUAUCUCCCCCAAGAGUCCACAUCGACGGGGAGG